rnacentral:misc_RNA from 1 species
AGCUCCAUGUACCAAAUCUGCAGUCUCCCUAUUUUCCACACCCUUUAUUUCCUCUGGAUUACCAACAGCAUCAGUUGGUGAUACCUGUGAACUUUCAUGCAAGGUUUUGUCAUCUAAAACUGAACCAGUAACUUCAUCCGCUAGUUCUGCAACCUUGGGAUUUGCUUGAUCAUCAUGGUCAGCUUUGUUGUCAGCAGAAGAAACAGAUUCCAA